GAGAUGACUCCCGGCAACGGAUAUCUCGGCUCUCGCAUCGAUGAAGAACGUAGCGAAAUGCGAUACGUGGUGUGAAUUGCAGAAUCCCGUGAACCAUCGAGUCUUUGAACGCAAGUUGCGCCCGAGGGAUCAUCCCGAGGGCACGCCUGCCUCACGGGCGUAAGAAGC
rnacentral:rRNA from 1 species